GACACUACAGGUUGUCACCUUGUUUACCCUACAUAAAUUUACACUUUAAGGAGGUGAAAUAAGGGAGAGACUUUGUGAGAGAAACACAUUCAGAGCCUGGAAAACAACUUUAUACAACAUGAGCUCAAAGAGGAUUUUAAUGCUGAGGAAAGUAAUAAACGUCUUCAAAACAAUCCCCACUGUUUCUCAGACACACAGUGAGCAUCUGCACGACUGCUGAACAAAGCCUCGGACUAUCAACCAAAUAGCAUGGUCUAAUCCCAUUAUACACUCUCUCUUUGAAUCCCGGUUUUACACACAACACACACACACACUCUAUGCUACCAGGCUUAUCCACAUCAGAGGGACACACAGUCAUUCAUAAACACGGGUGGAUAAUUAAAAAACACAAUGCUGAUUUUUUUUUUUUUUGUUUGCAAUAAUUAUGUUUGUGUGUAGCAGCAUUCAUGAAUGUUGAUAACAUGUUUAAUAUUUCAUGAAUUCAAAGAUCAGUCACAUUUGUGUUCAGAGAGAUAUCCACAGAGUUAUAAUGAUGUUAAGUAGAAAUUAUUCUCUAUUGAAACUCAGACUGCAACACAUGCAGUGACUCAGUGUAAUGUCAAGGAUAAGAAGAGGCAGUCAGUACUUUUCUCAUCUGUCACUGAAUAAUGCCACGCAGUCCAGAGCAAUUUGCUUUCACAUUAGGAUGCAGAAUAUAAUGAACCAUUCAGAAAUAGAAUUUUUUUUUUGUCUGUUCAGGCUUUUGAUCAUCCAUUAAUUUCCGUACGUAAAGGAAUAGUUUCACAAUUAUUUGCUGUCUUGCCUUUUUCAUCUCAGAAAGAUAUUCUCAUUUGGUAUGGAAAUGACUGGCCAUCAUGGAUUGUUGUAUUUGUUAGAUUUUAGCUGCUGAUGUUCUGUUUGUCAGGCCAGCCAUGAUGGCUGCUCUUUCUAAUGGAAGCCUCAGAGUGAGCCAUUCAUUUUUGUUUAAAAUAAACCUCACUGCUGCAUCAGGAAUCAUAAGAUGAGUCACUUCCUCUGCAGAAGAGGACCAAAUGUUCCUUGAUAAAGUACUUUAUCACAGAUGUUUACAGCUACAGAUGGCAUAUGGAAAAAGGUUAAAUAAUGACUUAAUGGUUUAACAAGUUAGUAAUUCAUUUAUUCAUAUGAACAAAGAUUUUUACAUUAAAUGUUCAAUUUUUACAUAAAUAAUUUCCUCUUUCACAACCUAUUUGAACCUAGUUUCAUCGCCACACAUUGUUCUCACUUUGUCUUCUUCUUUGAUUCUUUUCCUUUCACAGGCUGCUCUGUAUUCCUCCAAGGCAGGAAGUUGUAGGAGACCAGAGCUGUGAGAAGGUGUCACCACUUUGUCCAUGACAUCAUCCACGAUCACAGAGAUGUCGUCCAUGAUCGAAGAAUGAUUGUCGAGGAUGAGGGAGACAUCGUCCAUGACCCGCAGAAACGUGUGCAAAAUCGCAGUGACGGAGAUUCCCGAUUUAAUAGGCAUCGUCCGCGAUCACAAAGACAUUGUCAGUGAUAUCAGAGACAUUGUCCACGUUCACAGAGACGUAGUCCACAAUAUGAGACCAGGACUGAGGCCUCCAGAAUUCAAACUUCAACCAUUAAAUCACAGAGAGAAGAGACAGACAUGAAGACAUUUCCAGAAGGUCUUCAGCUGCUGUCGACAUCUCCUCCUGCAGAGACAAGAACACGUAUGAAUCACAGAAACUGAUCAGUAAAUCUAAACAUACCACGUAUUAUAAACAUCAAAAUAUUUUUUUUGAUGGUUUUUGACAGUACUAUGACAUGCAGCUUAAGAUUAAGUAUUUUAAAGUAGCCAUCUUUCCUUGUUUUCCAUAGACACACACAUUCACACCUCUACGCAGUGUUGGGUUGUGUGGGUUAGGUUCAUGGUAUUUUGCUAUAUCAAAACUCAAAUCCAAUCUAUUGCUGUGUACAUAGUCCUGUUUAUAGUGUUCAUUUUGUUGAGAAUAUGUACAUAUUGCUAUUUGUCAUUUAGCAUCUUGUUUAUGUAAUGCCUUUUUCUAUUUUUGCUGUUCCAAAACUGAAUUUCCCCGCUGUGGGACUUAUGAAGGAUUAUCUUACUCAAAUAUUUCUGAACACUGAAUAUUUUGCCACUGUUAUUGCAUGAAAGUAAAUAUUUUUAGCCAGAGAAUAAUUUUAGCUUAAAUUAUACAUUGCAAGCAAGAACAAGCAAAAUCACUUUUGUGAUAUUAAUUUGAAAAUAAAGACACACAAAUCAAAAGUUA